ensembl:lncRNA
GUGUGCGUGUGUGUGUGUGUGUGAGGGAGCCUCUGAAAGGGAAAGGCUCCAUUAAAGCCCACCUGUUCUGACCCCUCCAGCUCUUCUCAUCAUGCGAGGACCACGAUGUGCCAUCAGCACAUCGUAACAACACCAGCAGAUGAUGAUGCUGAGUCAUUGGAGCCGGACGCUUUCGCUGACCCACAGUCUGAGGACGCAGUGACGCAGGUGGUUGUGGGGACACGUUGGACGCGACGUGUCAUUUCCUCAGCUGAUGAAGCUUCCCACGGGGUCGGCCGGGUUGCAAAACGCCCCCACUUCUUGCUUCCCUUCCCACGCUGCGACGAAAACGCCACGUCGCCACAAAAUAGUACCGUAAUAGAAUUCGACAGCAGGACGCUCUUUGAGUCCGUUUGGCGGACUGAGCAACAGGUCGUCGUGAAACGGGACGUCGACCUCGGCGUUGAGUUGGAGGUUAAACGCCUGCGUGUGAUCGGUCAGAUGAGGAUGAACCUUUGCGACCGCGAAGACCAACUGUCCGUCCGGCUGAGGGACAAUUUCCA